rnacentral:rRNA from 1 species
AUGUGCUCGUUUUGUACGGAGGUGGAAACUGCUAAUCAUCUAUUCUUCACUUGUUCACUCGCCCGCACGGUCUGGGGCGCGCUGGGGCUGACUGUCGGGAUCUCUUGUGCCCCUAGGUCUAUUUGGCAGUGCUUUGCUUGGCUGUAUAAGUUUUUCCCAGGAGGGAAGAAGUUUUAUAUGAUGAUUAUUGCAGCCGUGUGUUGGGCAAUUUGGUGCCUCCGCAACAAAACUACUUUUGACAAGUAUAAUGCCCGUACUCCUUUGGAGGCUGUCUUUACUGCUUGUUCUUUUAUGUUAUACUGGGCAGGAUUGCUUAAGGAGGAAGACAAGAUGAGAUUCCAAGUGGGGGUGAAGAGGCUGGCUAAUGUGGCGGCUGCCCUGGCGGACAGAUCAUAUGCUCGCGGCAGGCUGCUCCUGGGAGAUGGGGAUGGUAUUCAGAUUGGGGAGCUGUCUUGA